UACGAAGGGGGCUAGCGUUGUUCGGAAUUACUGGGCGUAAAGGGCUCGUAGGUGGCCAACUAAGUCAGACGUGAAAUCCCUCGGCUUAACCGGGGAACUGCGUCUGAUACUGGAUGGCUAGAGAUUGGGAGAGGGAUGCGGAAUUCCAGGUGUAGCGGUGAAAUGCGUAGAUAUCUGGAGGAAUACCGGUGGCGAAGGCGGCAUCCUGGACCGAGAUUGACGCUGAUGAGCGAAAGCUAGGGGAGCAAACGGGG
rnacentral:rRNA from 1 species